AAGGAUCAUUGUCGAAACCUGCAUGGCAGAACGACCCGUGAACUCGUAUCUAAUCUGGGAAGGCAUCGGACGGGUCUUGGCCCGUUUGUUGCUUUCCAUGCUGAGGUAUGAACCGGCUGCUCUUUCGGGGGCACCGGUUCACAUCCCUAGCAAAGCAACGAACCCCGGCGCGAACCGCGCCAAGGAAAUUGAACAAAGAGAUCACACAUGUUGGCCCCGUUCGCGGGAUCCACAGGUGUUUUGAAUCUUGCAUAAUAACAAAACGACUCUCGGCAACGGAUAUCUAGGCUCUC
rnacentral:misc_RNA from 1 species